rnacentral:rRNA from 1 species
GAGUAAUGCGUGACCAACCUGCCCCAUGCUCCAGAAUAGCUCUUGGAAACGGGUGGUAAUGCUGGAUGCUCCAACUUGACGCAUGUCUUGUUGGGAAAGUGUUUAGUGGCAUGGGAUGGGGUCGCGCCCUAUCAGCUUGUAGGCGGGGUAAUGGCCCACCUAGGCUUCGACGGGUAGCCGGCCUGAGAGGGCGGACGGCCACAUUGGGACUGAGAUACGGCCCAGACUCCUACGGGAGGCAGCAGCG